rnacentral:rRNA from 1 species
AUUGAACGCUGGCGGCAGGCCUAACACAUGCAAGUCGAGCGGAUGAGUGGAGCUUGCUCCAUGAUUCAGCGGCGGACGGGUGAGUAAUGCCUAGGAAUCUGCCUGGUAGUGGGGGGCAACGUUUCGAAAGGAACGCUAAUACCGCAUACGUCCUACGGGAGAAAGUGGGGGAUCUUCGGACCUCACGCUAUCAGAUGAGCCUAGGUCGAAUUAGCUAGUUGGUGAGGUAAAGGCUCACCAAGGCGACGAUCCGUAACUGGUCUGAGAGGAUGAUCAGUCACACUGGAACUGAGACACGGUCCAGACUCCUACGGGAGGCAGCAGUGGGGAAUAUUGGACAAUGGGCGAAAGCCUGAUCCAGCCAUGCCGCGUGUGUGAAGAAGGUCUUCGGAUUGUAAAGCACUUUAAGUUGGGAGGAAGGGCAGUAAGUUAAUACCUUGCUGUUGACGUACCAAACAGAUAGC